CCUACGGGAGGCAGCAGUGAGGAAUAUUGGUCAAUGGCCGAGAGGCUGAACCAGCCAAGUCGCGUGAGGGAAGACGGCCCUACGGGUUGUAAACCUCUUUUGUCGGGGAGCAAAGCGAACCACGUGUGGUUCAUUGUGAGUACCCGCAGAAAAAGCAUCGGCUAACUCCGUGCCCGCAGCCGCGGUAAUACGGAGGAUGCGAGGGUUAUCCGGAUUUAUUGGGUUUAAGGGGUGCGAAGGCGGAGGUUCAAGUCAGCGGUCAAAUUGCGGGGCUCACCCCCGUACUGCAGUUGAAACUGGAUGCCUUGAGUGCGCUAGAGGUAUGCGGAAUGCGUGGUGUAGCGGUGAAAUGCAUAGAUAUCACGCAGAACUCCGAUUGCGAAGGCAGCAUACCGGAGCGCAACUGACGCUCAUGCACGAAAGCGUGGGUAUCGAACAGGAUUAGAUACCCUUGUAGUC
rnacentral:rRNA from 1 species